UGAUUCUGGCUCAGAACGAACGCUGGCGGCGUGGAUAAGACAUGCAAGUCGAACGGGAACUUAUCGGUGGUAACACUGAUUGGAACUAGUGGCGAAAGGGUGCGUAACACGUGGGAACCUGCCUAAAAGUGGGGGAUAGCUCGGAGAAAUUCGAAUUAAUACCGCAUGUGAAGGUAACUUCAAAGCCGGGGCAACCUGGCGCUUUUAGAUGGGCCCGCGGCCUAUUAGCUUGUUGGUGAGGUAACGGCUCACCAAGGCUCCGAUGGGUAGCCGGUCUGAGAGGACGAUCGGCCACACUGGAACUGAGACACGGUCCAGACACCUACGGGUGGCAGCAGUCGAGAAUCAUUCGCAAUGGGCGCAAGCCUGACGGUGCGACGCCGCGUGGGGGAUGAAGGUCCUAGGAUUGUAAACCCCUGUCAUUGGUUAACAACCCUGCGUGUUUAACUGACAUGCAGCUGAUAGUAGCCAAAGAGGAAGGGACGGCUAACUCNGUGCCAGCAGCCGCGGUAAUACNGAGGUCCCAAGCGUUGUUCGGAUUUACUGGGCGUAAAGGGUGCGUAGGCGGUUAGAAAAGUUUGGUGUGAAAUCUUCGGGCUCAACCCGGAAACUGCACUGAAAACUAUUUAACUAGAGGAUCGGAGAGGAGAUUGGAAUUCUCAGUGUAGCAGUGAAAUGCGUAGAUAUUGAGAGGAACACCAGUUGCGAAGGCGGAUCUCUGGACGAUUCCUGACGCUGAGGCACGAAAGCUGGGGGAGCGAAGAGGAUUAGAUACCCUCGUAGUCCCAGCCGUAAACGGUGCGCACUUGCUGUGGGCGGAUUCGACCCCGUCCGUGGCGAAGCUAACGCGUUAAGUGCGCCGCCUGGGGAGUACGGUCGCAAGAUUAAAACUCAAAGAAAU
rnacentral:rRNA from 1 species